ACAUGGGCCUCUUCAACAAGCAGCCCUGACUUGAUGGAGCAGCUGAAUUCCUCCUGGAAGAAGAUACCCAGAUGGAAGUGGCCCAGGUACAGAUGCCAUAGAGGGGAGUUUAAAGACUGCCCUGCUGAGAUAGCAUUGCUGUGCCCCACCAGCUGCUGCCUGAAGGAGAGGAAGCCUCUACUCACUUCUCUAGCUCGUCCCAGAAGAUAUGAGGAUCAGAGCUCCUCUGCCGGGUCUUCAGCAUGUGCUGCACCAGGCGGAUGGAGCGAUUGUAGGACUUGUCCAGCUCACUGAUGAUGAAUAGCAGGUCUGAGCUGAGGCCUGGGACAGCUACGUACUGCCACAGCAGAGCCGGGAGGUACAUGAUCACGGCCAGCGCCAGCAGGGAGUAAGGGAGGGCCUGCGGGCAGGUAAGAGGCAGCUGAGGGCCGGGCUCAGGGUACAUUUCCUGACUCAGAGGAGGGAGUACCACAGGCCGGAGCCUUAGGCUCCAUCAUCAUCAGACCAUCUGCACAUUGUGAGGCCUAGGAGAGAGGGCAUGCAUGUCUUACGCUCUCCAACUCCACCCUUCCCAUCUGGGGUCAGCCUUGGUAUUAGACUCUAGAAAGAGAGGGCAGCUUAAAGAGUAAAGAAGGGAGAGGGUGUGAGCACCACACAAGGCCUGCCUCCUGCUCCUGAGCCUGGGUGGUUUACUGGAGACACAGCCAGAGGGAAAGAGCCUCCUCUCACUUUCCACUUUUAUUCCUCUGAUUGCUCCAGUUUCUUUUCAUCAGUCUACCAGACCCAUCUAAUAUUCAAAUUCCAGCCAGGGACCCCAGAAAGGCUGACUUCCCUGGAGCCUCCAGAGGGGAGGAGGGCCCCAUUUCCUUUGCCUCACUUUCCCUGCUUCCUCUUCAGUCUCUCCUCACCUCUGCUCCUUGGGUGAGAAACCUAGGCCUUCAGGCACUUCUUGUUGCUCUUUGGGGCUGUUUUUGGUCAGUCUGUCUUUAGUUGACAUUGACAUAUGUGUGAGCAUUGAGUCCUCACACCAUGGGCUCCUUGAGACAAUAGCCUUUGCUGCCUGUUUGCUUAUCAUAGUCAUUAUACUUCACAGGGUCGGGCCCUCUAUUUUGCCUGCAGCCAAAGCUCUAUUUGCAAAGGGUGUUUGUUUAUUUUAAAAUUAGGUACUUAUUAUUAUUAUUGCCUCCAGGGUUAUCACUGGGGCUCUGUGCCUGCACUACAAACCUACUGCUCCUGGAGGCUACUUUUUUCCUUGUUGUUGAUCUUGUUGUUUAUCAUUGCUGUUAUUAUUAUUGUUGUUAUUGUUGUCAGAUAGGACAGAGAGAAAUCGAGGGAGACGGGGAAGACAGAGGGGGAGAGAAAGAUAGACACCUGCAGACCUGCUUCACUGCUUGCGACCCUCCUGCUGGUGGGGAGCCAGGGUCUCGAACCCGGAUCCUUAUGCGGGUUCUUGUGCUUCACGCCAUGUGAGCUUAAACUGCUGUGCCACCACCCAGCGCCUGCCACCAGGGUUCUUGCUGGGAAUUGAUGCUUGCAUGAAGAAUCCACUGCUCCCAGCAGCUUUUUAUUUAAAUUAAUUAAUUAAUUAAUUAAUUUAUUGCCUCCAGGGUUAUUACUGAGGCUCAGUGCCUGCACCAUGAAUCCAUUGCUCCUGGAGGCCAUUUUUCCCCCUUUGUUGCCCUUGUUGUUGUAGCCUUGUUGCAGUUAUUAUUGUUGUUGAUGUCAUUUGUUGUUGGAUAGGACAGAGAGAAAUGGAGAGAGGAGGGGAAGACAGAGAGGGGAGAGAGAAAAAUAGACACCUGCAGACCUGCUUCACCACCCGUGAAACAACCCCCCUAUAGGUGGGGAGCCAGGGGGCUGGAACUGGGAUCUUCACGCGGGUCCCCGCGCUUCUCGCCACGUGUGCUUAACCAGCUGCGCUGCCGCCCAACCCCCAGCUUUUAAUUUUUGUAUUAUUUUUCUUUUGCUUUCGGUAGAGGUUGAGACAGAUAGAUAAAAAGGAGGAGAGACAGGGAAGGAGAAAAUACCUACAGCACUGCUGCAGGUCUGUGAAGCUCCCCUCCCCCCACAUACAUGUGCAAACAGGGACUUGAACCCAGGUCCUCGCACAGGGUAACAUUUGCACUCUACUGGAGGUACCAUCACCAGGUCCCUACUUAUUUUCUAAUAUGUGGUUUCAGGCGUCAAACAUACAAGACAUGCUCACUACUGAGCUACAUCCAUAACCCUUUAAAAGCUGCUUAAAACUGUGCUAUUGGGCUCAUUAUUACAUCUUGCGCCCUGCACAGAUUAAGAACCAAAUGAUUCUUCUUGAGAAUUCUGACCAGUCUUAGAGGAAGGGUUAUAGAUACCGACAGUUGAGGGCUUCCAGAGGACACAGGAAGGUGGCACAGCGGUGGAACACAACACUUGCAAGUGCCAGACCCUGGUUCAAUCCCUGGCUUGCAUGUGCAAGCAUGAUGUUCUGGUCCUCCGUUUCUUGUUAACAGCUAAACACGGCUUUAACAUAAUGAUCUACAGGGAUUGCCUUAAAUGCAAGGCUGCAGGGAGUAAGGCAACCCCCAACCACAGCUCUGAUCAAAUAAAAGGGAGCCGGCAAGCAUGACCUGCUGUCUAAGGAAUGCAGGGAACAUGAAGCCCGUGACCAAGACACAGAGUGGAGUGGGUGGCCAGGAGGUAGGAGAGCAUUCAGCUAUGCAGCUGUGUGCCACUUGAACCUGUGGCCUGAGCCCCAGCCUCCCCUUUACCUUGUGAGGCCAGAGGGAUCUUGUCUUGUACUGGCCAGACUCCUCCAGCUCAUGGUGAACCAGUGAGUCCCAGCAGGAACUAUCCACAUAGGCUGCCUGCCGGACACUGAAGUUCCCAGGAGAGAAGCAGCUGAUGGGAGACCCUGGAAUAGAACACAGCCGUGAGGCAGCCCACACCUCCUGGGGGGCUGGACUCCACACACAAGCAGAUCAGCGAUUCCCAGGGGCCACCCACACUACUAUGCCCUUUAUGGAUGUGCUGGAACUUUCUUCUACCCAGGUUCCAGUUUUCUGGGUCCCUGUCACCACAGCAUGGGGUGGCAUAUCACCUAUCCUUGCUUCAAGUUGUCUUUGAUAUCACCUGCUGGUCCUGUUUACUCCUAGACAGGUGGGCAGUUGGGUGCCCUGCUGCCUACUCUCCUGCCCUUGGUGCCAGAGGGCUUGCAGGAUCCUGCCCCAGAGAGCUGGUAGCUGUUGGUCUAACAUUUAGAGGAUUAAUUCCUGGUGCAGAGGAGAGAGUGUAAUGGUUAUGCAACUGACUUUUGUGAGGCUUGGAGGUUACAUGGACUUGGUAGGAAAGUCUCUGGCUAUAUUCAUUCUCUGGAAAAGAGGCAGAAAUGGGGAUCAGUACUCGCCAUCUUGUGUACAAAGAGGCAGUUGACCCACUUCCUUGAGUAACAAUCUUUGGAAAGACUGGCAGGAAGCCAGAAAAGAAAGCCAAACCCCCAGUUCUCUUUAAGAGGGAAAGAGACUUGCUCAGUUCACCCAGCUCUUUAGAACAUGAGGCAGAUGUGUUUGUGAACUUUAUGUUGGUGGUCUGGAAGGGUCUGUUGCCCCUCCCUCACUGUGUUCUCAUCAGGUCAGGAACCCUGGAGAUGGGAGCAGGGAACAGCACUAGGAAGAGACAUGUUUAAAGCGUGGCCUUUAGCAUUCCUGAGACAAUUAAGGAGACCCCUAUCUGUUCAUUCAUAUGAAAAUCAAAAAGCAAGUUUAAUUAUUGCAAUGGCAUGCAAGAAUACUGAAAUUAAAGCAAAAAUAUCUCCUGCUGUAAAGUUUCAGAGACUAAAGUAGUGGGUGGCUCUGCUCUGCCUGAGUCCCACACUCAGGUGUGCUGUGCCCUGUGCGGGAUGCCCAGGCUGGUGGGAGCUGUCUCACUUUGGAGCCCACACAGGCUGGGAUUUCAGUGGCACCUAACCUACGAUCUGGGUCUUAGAAGUCACUCACCAGAGGAGAACUCCUGGGCAAAGGCGAGGGACAUCAGCAUCAGGGGGAAGCCCACUGCCACAAACUUGGCCAUCCGGUCCAGGGGAAGCUCCAGGCGCAGUCCCUUGAGGCGAGGGCCCCUGCGGUCUGGCAGCAGGGCAUCUGAAAGCAUGUACUCAGCAGCUGUAUGUGCAAGUGACAUGAUGCUGCUGUUUUGGGGUGCAGAGGCAGCAGGCAGGUUCCAGGACAGUGGAGAGAGGAGAUGGCACCCUUGAGCAGCUGGCUUGGAGCUGAUGUAUGUGCAGCCCCAGCCCCCAUGUGUCUGUGCCAGGAGUAGGUCAGGUCUCUAAAUAACCAACCAGACCCCUGCCAGGCCUCCUGGUAAUUAGAGGGAGGCCAAGCUCGGUCCUCUGGCCCAGGGUCGGGUGUCAGCCUCAGCUGCCUUGCUGCUGCCUUGCUGCUGCCCCCAAGCAGAUGAGUCCUGUGGCUUUAUGCUGCCCUCUCAUUAAUAAAGUAUUUUUGGGGGGUGGUGGAGAGAAGGAGCGUGAUGGAGCCACCCCCACCCCUUGUAAUUGGUGUGGAAUUUGGGUGGAGAUUGCUGAACUGUGUGGAAGGCCCUCAUUUUGUGGCUUGGGGUGGGAAGGGAGCCCCCAAGUCUCAGCUAGGAUCACAACUGCUACAUAGCAUUCUUUGUCCCAGUCAUGACUUUUCCUCUGGGUUCAGGCUCUUUCCCAUAAACUGUUCUGUUUUUGGUGUUAAAUUCCCUCUCCUGCCUCUCUCUCUCUCUCUUUUCAAUUUCUCCCAGACUGCAUACUUAUAAUGUAGCCACAUGUUUAUAAUUUCCAUAUAUUUACCUUUUAUUUAUUUAUGUAAGCCAUAUUAGUUCUCUAGAUUGGCCAGGCUGGGUGGUAGGGUUCAAGAGUAGAAAGAACACAUCCUUUGAGAUCUAGAGGAAAGACCUUCCACUGGGGACCCACAGUGCUCACUGACUGUUUUACUGUAUGGCUUUUGACAAGUUGCUUUCAGCUUAGUGUCUCCACCUGUCAGAUGGGCUUGAGCUGUUCUCUGCAGGAUCAUGAAUGCUGAUGAAGAGGAUUUACUGUGGGGUAAGAAGACUUUCAAAGUGCCAGCUGAUCAGUGCUCUGGUGUCUCUCUCUUCCAUGCAUCUCAUUAAAAUAAAUAAAUGUUAGAAAAUGAUUUAUUGUAUUAGAAGGUGCAUUGUAGACUGUAAAAUAUAUGCA